rnacentral:rRNA from 1 species
CACGCCGUAAACGGUGGGUACUAGGUGUGGGUUUCCUUCCUUGGGAUCCGUGCCGUAGCUAACGCAUUAAGUACCCCGCCUGGGGAGUACGGCCGCAAGGCUAAAACUCAAAGGAAUUGACGGGGGCCCGCACAAGCGGCGGAGCAUGUGGAUUAAUUCGAUGCAACGCGAAGAACCUUACCUGGGUUUGACAUGCACAGGACGCCGGUAGAGAUAUCGGUUCCCUUGUGGCCUGUGUGCAGGUGG